UACAGAGGGUGCGAGCGUUGUUCGGAAUUAUUGGGCGUAAAGGGCGCGUAGGCGGUGCGGUAAGUCACCUGUGAAAUCUCCUGGCUCAACUGGGAGCUUGCAGGCGAAACUGCCGUGCUGGAGUGUGGGAGAGGUGCGUGGAAUUCCCGGUGUAGCGGUGAAAUGCGUAGAUAUCUGGAGGAACACCGGUGGCGAAGGCGGCAUCCUGGACCAACACUGACACUGAGGAGCGAAAGCCAGGGGAGCAAACGGG
rnacentral:rRNA from 1 species